GAUAAACGCUAGCGGCAGGCCUAACACAUGCAAGUCGAGGGGCAGCAUAGAUUGUAGCAAUACAAUUGGUGGCGACCGGCGCACGGGUGCGUAACGCGUAUGCAACCUACCCGUCACAGGGGGAUAACCCGGAGAAAUCUGGUCUAAUACCCCAUAACAUAUGGAUCGGCAUCGGUUCAUGUUGAAAUUUUCGGAGGUGACGGAUGGGCAUGCGUAGCAUUAGCUUGUUGGUGAGGUAACGGCUCACCAAGGCGACGAUGCUUAGGGGGACUGAGAGGUUUUCCCCCCACACUGGUACUGAGACACGGACCAGACUCCUACGGGAGGCAGCAGUGAGGAAUAUUGGUCAAUGGGCGCAAGCCUGAACCAGCCAUGCCGCGUGCAGGAUGACGGCUCUAUGAGUUGUAAACUGCUUUUGUACGAGGGUAAAGUGGGUUACGUGUAACCUUUUGAAAGUAUCGUACGAAUAAGGAUCGGCUAAACUCGUGCCAGCCGCCGCCGUAA
rnacentral:rRNA from 1 species